CCUACGGGCGGCAGCAGUGAGGAAUAUUGGUCAAUGGGCGCGAGCCUGAACCAGCCAAGUAGCGUGAAGGAUGACUGCCCUACGGGUUGUAAACUUCUUUUAUAAAGGAAUAAAGUGCGGCACGUGUGCCUUUUUGUAUGUACUUUAUGAAUAAGCAUCGGCUAACUCCGUGCCAGCAGCCGCGGUUAUACGGAGGGUCCGAGCGUUCUCCGGAUUUAUUGGGUUUAAAGGGUGCGUAGAUGGGUUGUUAAGUCAGGUGGUAAAGUUUGGGGCUCAACCCUAACAGUGCAAUUGAUACUGGCAGUCUUGAGUACAGGUGAGGUAGGCGGAAUGCGUGGUGUAGCGGUGAAAUGCAUAGAUAUCACGAAGAACUCCGAUUGCGAAGGCAGCUUACUAAACUGCCACUGACAUUGAUGCUCGAAAGUGUGGGUAUCAAACAGGAUUAGAUACCCUGGUAGUC
rnacentral:rRNA from 1 species